GACGAACCGUGCGACCGUUAUUCGGAAUCAUUGGGCUUAAAGGGCGCGUAGGCGGCGGUGUAAGUUGGAAGUGAAAUCCCAUCGGCUCAACCGUGGAAUUGCUCCCAGUACUGCAUCGCUCGAGGGGGAUAGGGGUUUGCGGAACUACCGGUGGAGCGGUGAAAUGUGUUGAUAUCGGUGGGAACGCCAGUGGCGAAAGCGGCAAACUUGACCCUUCCUGACGCUGAGGCGCGAAAGCUAGGGGAGCAAACGGG
rnacentral:rRNA from 1 species